GCCUUCGUGGUGUAAUGGUCAGCACACUGAGCCUGUAUUUCAGAGGUCCGUGGUUCGAUCCCCGGCGAAGGCC
rnacentral:tRNA from 1 species